AUUGAACGCUAGCGGCAUGCUUUACACAUGCAAGUCGAACGAGUGGCGGACGGGUGAGUAAUAUAUCGGAACGUGCCCUGUAGCGGGGGAUAACUACUCGAAAGAGUGGCUAAUACCGCAUACCAUGGGAGCGGCCGAUAGCGGAUUAGCUAGUUGGUGGGGUAAAGGCUCACCAAGGCAACGAUCCGUAGCUGGUGUGAGAGGACGACCGGCCACACUGGGACUGAGACACGGCCCAGACUCCUACGGGAGGCACCAGUGGGGAAUGUUGGACAAUGGGUGAAAGCCUGAUACAGCCAUGCCGCGUGUGUUAGAAGGCCUUCGGGUUGUAAAGUACUUUUGGCGGGGAAGCGGUAUCUGCAGAAUAAGCACCGGCUAACUACGUGCCAGCAGCCGCGGUAAUUC
rnacentral:rRNA from 1 species